GCUUAUGGUCUUGUGAUUGGAAUGAGUAGAAAUUAAGUCUCUCUACAAGUAUCAAUUGGAGGGCAAGUCUGGUGCCAGCAGCCGCGGUAAUUCCAGCUCCAAUAGCGUAUAUUAAAGUUGUUGCAGUUAAAAAGCUCGUAGUUGAAUUUCUGCAGAAUGCGACGCGUUGCACCUUUCGAGGCGAUUUCGUGUUUGCUUCUGCAUUCUAGUGACACGUUAUACACUUCACUGUGUGUGAUGUUGUUAUUAGCUUUUA
rnacentral:rRNA from 1 species